CCUACGGGAGGCUGCAGUGAGGAAUAUUGGUCAAUGGACGAGAGUCUGAACCAGCCAAGUAGCGUGAAGGAUGACUGCCCUAUGGGUUGUAAACUUCUUUUAUAUGGGAAUAAAAUGUUCCACGUGUGGGAUUUUGUAUGUACCAUAUGAAUAAGGAUCGGCUAACUCCGUGCCAGCAGCCGCGGUAAUACGGAGGAUCCGAGCGUUAUCCGGAUUUAUUGGGUUUAAAGGGAGCGUAGGUGGAUUGUUAAGUCAGUUGUGAAAGUUUGCGGCUCAACCGUAAAAUUGCAGUUGAAACUGGCAGUCUUGAGUACAGUAGAGGUGGGCGGAAUUCGUGGUGUAGCGGUGAAAUGCUUAGAUAUCACGAAGAACUCCGAUUGCGAAGGCAGUUCACUGGACUGCAACUGACACUGAGGCUCGAAGGUGUGGGUAUCAAACAGGAUUAGAUACCCGAGUAGUC
rnacentral:rRNA from 1 species